GGAGACAGUACAACAGGGAGGUGGUUCCCAGGGGAGACAGUACAACAGGGAGGUGGUUCCUGGGGGAGACAGUACAACAACAGGGAGGUGGUUCCUGGGGGAGACAGUACAACAACAGGGAGGUGGUUCCUGGGGGAGACAGUACAACAGGGAGGUGGUUCCCAGGGGAGACAGUACAACAGGGAGGUGGUUCCUGGGGGAGACAGUACAACAGGGAGGUGGUUCCCAGGGGAGACAGUACAACAGGGAGGUGGUUCCUGGGGGAGACAGUACAACAACAGUAUGGAGAUGUUUCUACUCACUUCUCUAAGUCACUCCGGGUAAAAGUUUUGAUAAAUGAAUUUGAUGUAAACACUGAACUGUAAAUUAGUUAAUGGGAUUGUAACUGUAAGUUAGUUCAUGGGAUUUUUACCCCCAAAACUAUUGUUUAGUAUUUUUCCACUGAUAAUACAGUCUCAAAAAGUGAACAUGUCAACAGGGAUGUUUUCAGGAACGAGCACUAAAAAGUCACAUGUUGAUGCGAUUUGCAGUAUUUUUCCCCAGUUAACUGUUGAAUUAUUAUCUAAAAAGGCAAGUCUCCAACUAAAUGAGGUAACAAAGGACAAGUCCCAAAUGUAACCGUAUUACCCAUUGUGUCUGAAAUGUUGAUCUGACGUGUCUCUGGUCCAAAGUAGUGCACUUUAUAGGGAAUAAGGUGAGAGUUAGGACACAUGCAUUGGUUCAAGUGUGCUGUGUGUUACAUACGUUAGGACAGUGGCUCCCAACUACGCUCCUCAGGGACCCCCAAUAGUACACAUUUUCAUUGUAGCCCCAGCCAAGCACAGCUGAUUCAACUUGUCAACUAAUUAUCAGGCUCUCAUUGAGUUGAAUUGGGUGUGCUUGUCCAGGAAUACAACAAAAAUGUGUGCUGUUGGGGGUACUGGAGGACCGGAGUUGGGAGCCACUGCUUUAGGAGAUGCAUGACUGAAACAGAAACUAUAACCACGGUUUUCAUAGCCACAUGCAUUACUUGAGAAACAUAUUUUAUUGACCAAUUAAGUUGUAUCAUUUUAGAAUUAUAACUUUUUAUUAUUUCCGUUAUUAUUUUUGUUAUUAACAUGAUG
ensembl:lncRNA